rnacentral:piRNA from 1 species
CCGAGAGUCCUGCCUUCAUU